UACAGAGGUGGCAAGCGUUGUUCGGAAUUACUUGGCGUAAAGGGCGCGUAGGCGGUUCGAUAAGUCCCGUGUGAAAGCCCCCGGCUCAACUGGGGAACUGCACGGGAAACUGACGGACUUGAGUUCGGGAGAGGGAAGCGGAAUUCCGGGUGUAGCGGUGAAAUGCGUAGAUAUCCGGAGGAACACCGGUGGCGAAGGCGGCUUCCUGGACCGACACUGACGCUGAGGCGCGAAAGCUAGGGGAGCAAACGGG
rnacentral:rRNA from 1 species